GUGCUCGCUUCAGCAGCACAUAUACUAAAAUUGGAACAAAACCAAGAAGAUUUGCAUGACCCCUGUGCACAGAUGACAUCGAAAUUGAUGAAGCAUUCCAUAUUUUA
ensembl:snRNA Gm24697 U6 spliceosomal RNA